UACGAAGGGGGCUAGCGUUGUUCGGAAUUACUGGGCGUAAAGCGCUCGUAGGCGGAUCUUUAAGUCAGGGGUGAAAUCCUGGAGCUCAACUCCAGAACUGCCUUUGAUACUGAGGGUCUUGAGUUCGGGAGAGGUGAGUGGAACUGCGAGUGUAGAGGUGAAAUUCGUAGAUAUUCGCAAGAACACCAGUGGCGAAGGCGGCUCACUGGCCCGAUACUGACGCUGAGGUGCGAAAGCGUGGGGAGCAAACAGG
rnacentral:rRNA from 1 species